AAUUUGACUUUCUGGCAAAUCGUUGGAUAGUCGACACGAAAACGUGGCCAAGUUAACAACACGAUUCUGGCCAACAGCGUGGCUCUUUUACAAUGGCACCGACCGCAGCGGGGCACCCAGUUUGGCAUUCGACAAAAAGGAUUCUCGCCUGUGGGCUGCUUCUGUCCCCGGGAUUUUUCUCCUUGUUCUGGUUCAAUGGCGACCACUUGACAGUUCUGGCCGGGCUUAAGCCGACCACGGUCCACGGACCAUGGCUUUGUCAUUUGCAGCUUGGGUAAGCGUGGCACUAACCAGGCUUAAAAGGCUGUUGGCUCAAAGGAAGCACACGGACGAAGGAUGGCACUGGAAAAGGGACAUGCAAUUUAUUCAGAACACUCUUAAACUGCUUUUGCUGAAAUUGGAGCAAAACAACCUUUAAGCUCAGACUAUUUAUAUAAAUAUAUUUUUUUUAAUUAUUAGAAUUACUUUUUUAAUAUUUACUAAAACAUAAUUACAUGAAUCGGCACUAUAAACAAUUUCUGAAAUAUUUCAA